ensembl:lncRNA
UGUGUACAGGCCACGACUGGCCUUCCCUGGUUGGGAAGUUCCCAUGGCUCCUGGCAGCUCGGUGCCGCGUGGACUUUUGCCCUCUUUUGUCCACUUCAAUUUCACCAGAGGCAUAAGCUGACACCUGUGGGACUCCUAAAAGGGCUCACGUGCUGGCUUUCAGAGCCUGGGAGUCAGAGGGGAGAAACUGAAGACUGAGGACUGGUUUCUCAGAGACCUCCAGAGGAGAGGACCUCGGGGUAUCUCCCUGAUCCAGGGAUUGAACCUGCAUCUUCUGCCUUGGUAAGCAGAUUCGUUACCACUGAGUCACCUGGGAAGCAAUUUUGAGGAUGAAUGUUGAUAAAUGUUAAUAAAGGGGAGGUAAAAAGUUGCAAUGUAGCUAGGAGCAGAAACAUCUAGCCCUUUUGAGAGGAAGUCGGGAAGGCAUGUAAAGCAUGUUACCAUCCUAAAGCUGGUAACAUCUAAGCUGAAAUGUGAAGAAUCAACUCUAAAUCAAAGGGUUAAAAUUCUUGGUAAGACUGUGCUUGCAGAAACCUGGAGUGGGCCAUGCCCACCCUCAGGGCUACACUAAGCUGGGGAAUGGAUUUCUGAGGAGAUGCAUCUUUAGUGGGGUCUUGUGAGCCAAGGAUGUAUGCAGGAC